rnacentral:rRNA from 1 species
GACGAACGCUGGCGGCGUGCUUAACACAUGCAAGUCGAACGGAAAGGCCCUGCUUUUGUGGGGUGCUCGAGUGGCGAACGGGUGAGUAACACGUGAGUAACCUGCCCUUGACUUUGGGAUAACUUCAGGAAACUGGGGCUAAUACCGGAUAGGAGCUCCUGCUGCAUGGUGGGGGUUGGAAAGUUUCGGCGGUUGGGGAUGGACUCGCGGCUUAUCAGCUUGUUGGUGGGGUAGUGGCUUACCAAGGCUUUGACGGGUAGCCGGCCUGAGAGGGUGACCGGCCACAUUGGGACUGAGAUACGGCCCAGACUCCGACGGGAGGCAGCAGUGGGGAAUAUUGCACAAUGGGCGGAAGCCUGAUGCAGCAACGCCGCGUGCGGGAUGACGGCCUUCGGGUUGUAAACCGCUUUCGCCUGUGACGAAGCGUGAGUGACGGUAAUGGGUAAAGAAGCACCGGCUAAGUACGUG